rnacentral:rRNA from 1 species
AAUAAUCCUGUAGUCGAAAAUGUUGUCUCUCUUGAGUGGAUCCUGAGUACGACGGAGCACGUGAAAUUCCGUCGGAAUCUGGGAGGACCAUCUCCUAAGGCUAAAUACUCUCUAGUGACCGAUAGUGAACCAGUACCGUGAGGGAAAGGUGAAAAGCACCCCGGAAGGGGAGUGAAAUAGAACCUGAAACCGUGUGCUUACAAGUAGUCAGAGCCCGUUAAUGGGUGAUGGCGUGCCUUUUGUAGAAUGAACCGGCGAGUUACGAUUUGAUGCAAGGUUAAGCAGUAAAUGUGGAGCCGUAGCGAAAGCGAGUCUGAAUAGGGCGUUUAGUAUUUGGUCGUAGACCCGAAACCAGGUGAUCUACCCUUGGUCAGGUUGAAGUUCAGGUAACACUGAAUGGAGGACCGAACCGACUUACGUUGAAAAGUGAGCGGAUGAACUGAGGGUAGCGGAGAAAUUCCAAUCGAACCUGGAGAUAGCUGGUUCUCUCCGAAAUAGCUUUAGGGCUAGCCUCAAGUGAUGAUUAUUGGAGGUAGAGCACUGUUUGGACGAGGGGCCCCUCUCGGGUUACCGAAUUCAGACAAACUCCGAAUGCCAAUUAAUUUAACUUGGGAGUCAGAACAUGGGUGAUAAGGUCCGUGUUCGAAAGGGAAACAGCCCAGACCACCAGCUAAGGUCCCAAAAUAUAUGUUAAGUGGAAAAGGAUGUGGCGUUGCCCAGACAACUAGGAUGUUGGCUUAGAAGCAGCCAUCAUUUAAAGAGUGCGUAAUAGCUCACUAGUCGAGUGACACUGCGCCGAAAAUGUACCGGGGCUAAACAUAUUACCGAAGCUGUGGAUUGUCCUUUGGACAAUGGUAGGAGAGCGUUCUAAGGGCGUUGAAGCAUGAUCGUAAGGACAUGUGGAGCGCUUAGAAGUGAGAAUGCCGGUGUGAGUAGCGAAAGACGGGUGAGAAUCCCGUCCACCGAUUGACUAAGGUUUCCAGAGGAAGGCUCGUCCGCUCUGGGUUAGUCGGGUCCUAAGCUGAGGCCGACAGGCGUAGGCGAUGGAUAACAGGUUGAUAUUCCUGUACCACCUAUAAUCGUUUUAAUCGA